rnacentral:tRNA from 1 species
UGAUUAGGUAGCUUAAUUUAGAGCAUAGCACUGAAAAUGCUAAGGUAAUUAAUUUAUUUCUAGUCAU